UUGAAAAAAAAAUAAAGUAGAAUAUAAUUUAUUUGGGAAUCAUCUUUCUUGAAAAGAAAAGGAAAAUUGUAUCUCCAAAGAGACAGGCCUAGACAUUGAGGUGAAACUUUUAAAUUUUAAUGGUCUGGCCCAACGAUCUUUUUGUAGGUCAUUUAUGCUUUAUGAAAUUGUUAACUAAUGAAUUACUUUGUUAUCUUAUAAUUGUUAGCUGCACCUUUUUCUUUGGUUACUUCAUAUGGUUGAACACAUUAUAUUAAGAGAG
rnacentral:misc_RNA from 1 species